CUGGUAAACGAUACAAGAGGCUUGUGCACAUGGCAUGGACUCUGGGCAGAGGAGACUCUCUCUCAAAUAGUGCUUUUCGGUAGAUGUUGCGAGACGCUUCUAAAGAUGGGAUGGAGUAUGGAAAUAAGAGACUUGGCGAUUUCGUCAGAUACUGUGGAGCGGAACAACGACGCAGUGCGCUUCGACGGAUGGGAAGACUUGUGGAAACGCGAUUCAGCCAUCGCGACACCAAAGCGGAAGCGCGGAAGCAGCGCGUGCAUCGUUGCUGCAUAUGAACAGCUGUCAUGACGGAGAUCGAAGGCGUGCUCACUACUUGCAGCAAGACACGGAAGCGAGUAUGCGUUGAGCGCGCUCGACGAAUGACCCGGUGAUUGCGCCAGCUCCUUAUGAUCGGAUCGGGAACACGGGACGCAGCCCCGUUCAGCGGCACUGCCUGAAACCGACAGAAGGCACCGAAUGAGUACAGCAGCCGAAUCGAGGAGUUGUGGACAACCUAGAGUAGAUCGAGAGGGCCAUAGAACGUUCAUGGAACUCUUCCAGAAAAAAACACAGCGGCUGCUACCGAAUAGGAUCCGGCGAACACCUCCGCCCAACAAACUAACAAACAAACAAAGAAACAGCUGGAGCGUCAAGCUCCCUGUCUGGUGCCGAUUUCUCCACAGCGCGUGUGGUGCACCGAUAGACUCCGGGCUGACGCUGGUUCAUUCCUGGAAAAGCACCACGGGCUCUAUCAGGCGAAUGCAACCGCUCCGUGGCCAUAGAUCGGCGCCAAAAUGCUGAUAAACAGCGUCAGUGCCCGUUCAGAUACCUAGAAGACAUCCGGCAUGUCUGGACGGCAGCGCAGUGCCGCUGAAACCUUUCCCAGAGACCAGCAGCAAACGCGUCCCAUACGACGUCCCGAUAAAGCAGACCACGACCAGCGUACCGCGACCACCUGCGCUGGCAUCAGGCCCGAGCGAUACGCACUGCGCUCAGACGUGCGGUUGGUGCAAGCCCUGUCGCUUCACUUGCCAUAGGUACCGCAGCAUUUUCAUGGUCGAAGAUGAACGCCUCUGUCCAAACUCUAUGGCGUGCGCGUUGCGAGUCGACUGUCGGCGUCGGGGGCUCGGCUACUCCGAAGACGCUCAAUGUGUGUUCGCGUAGAGUGUCGGGUGCCUCGAGGUGCAGCGUUCGAGGCACCACGCUACGUCUUGCUCCGGUGCCGCGUGCCUACUUUACACGUAUCCACAACAACACACAGACACACACACAACCACAACUCUAGAGGCAUAUCCAUUGGGUUACAGUGAAACCCCGCCCAUGACCAACGCGCACUGAUCCAUACAGAGCGCCAAGCUCUCGACACCAUAGACACCCUCGAUGUAUCACCGAUAUCACUGGGGUGGCUGCUGGGGGCCCCAGGCGAAGGGCCUCACCUCAGCCAGGUCCGGGUAACGGUGAAUCCAGUCCAGAUACGCCUCUGGUGACUCGUCGCCCUCUGAUGCUGCCUCUAUCUCGAUGCCUACCGCCAGAGCGUGUUGCCGUCGUUCACCAGCAAGUCGAGCAAUAUUUUCCGACCAGUACGCAUCCAACUGGGCUGCUACUUCACAAAACGCCUGCUGCUUCAUCUCAGCCGCUAAAGGCGUCGUGAUUCGCAUCAUCGGCUGCGGGGGCGGCCACAAGAGGCCGUGUUGCUGGACUCGGCGCCAAUAGAACGCAUGUCGAAUCCAGUCCGCAGCACUGAGCGCUUCGGUAGCGCUACAGCUCCGUCGCAAAAAGGCGGGAAUAGCACGAAGCUGCGCAAGCGCCUCCGUCGGAUCGGCAAGCACGCUCAGUUCAGAGAAACGAUCUGCGCUGUUCAGAUCGCCCAGAAGACGCUCAUAAACCAUCGCCAUGAGCGUUGUGCCUAGUCUGCUGUCCGUGUGGUGUGCAUAGAGCCACUCGAGACCACGUUCGAGCGCUGUGCUCGAGUCGUGCCCCAAAGACGCCGAAUCUGUCGCAAUCUGUCGUUCGUCCGCAGAGGCCAGGGCUGCCUCCGGACAGCGCACCUCAUUCAGAAGCGCCAACGCCACCACGACAACCGCGGUAUCGAUAUCAAGUCGACCAAGACGCGAGAGUAACGACCAGCGCUCCACGUCGUGGUAGCAAAUGCAUCCGGUGAAGGCGAGGCUCACCAGAAGCAAGCCCGCCAGAGGUCCACGCGCCUUCGGUCCCGCUCCCUGCAACGUAUUGAUGAGCGUCUCAAGGGCUUGUCGGACACCGGACUCCAAGCCGUCCUGAGCCCCAUCAUCACUUCGAACGCAUUCGAGUAAAGCGAGCAGCUGCAACAUCGCGAAGAGGAUAGGCUGAGCGCGGGCACCGCCAGAACGGUCCAGUAUGCGCUGCAACACCUCGCGAAUGCGACGCAAACUCGGUACUGAAGCCUCGGUUACAACCAAAGUCGCGCUGGAACGCGACCGUGACGCUGCUUCCUCGCCUGCCGAGCACGAGGACGAGCAGAGAGCUGUCAACGCGGCUGGCCCGAGACGUCGCAAGACCUUCAUCACGAUCUGAACAAAGCGACUCUCGAGUGCUGCGGUGCCUGCUCCGGACGGCAGCGCUCGGUUGGCGCGCUCGAGUGCCUCCAUCGCCAUGUGCCAGUUGUGCUGUGCUGCUCGCUGGCAUCCGAGCGUCCACUGCAGCUCAGCAAAGCUAUCCUGAAUGCGCGCUAGACUCGAAUACAAAAGCGCAUCUAGCAUGCACAACGAGGCUUGCAUGUUGCGGGUCCCGGUUCCGUCGGGUUGUCCCUGCACAGUCGCUGUCGAAGGUUGUGCGUUGUCGCUUGUCGACACGAUGGGCGCUGUCGGAAGCGCCACAGCAGCAUGCGCAGUUGCAGCAGGAGCAACAGCGGCUGUUUCCGCUCCUGCUCGCGCUGCAGAGUCGACAGUACCCCGGGUACCGUCUAGGCAAGCCCGCUGCCCCGCGAUUCCACUCCAUAUUUCCGUCUCCACUGCGGAGGCGGCUGCUCCUGGCACCUCAGGUGCCUCUGUGUAGCGCGCGUGCGCAGCUCGUUCGCUUUCAUGUGACGCACCGCCGGCGUUUCGCUCAAGCAACAAGCGUUCGAGCUCGCCAACGAGGCUCAAGGCCUCGGUGUGCCGUCCCUCUGCAGCCAAGAGCGACGCAUACGCUGUACCGACAAGUGUCAUCAACUGGAGCGCGUCGCUACUGGAUGAACGCAUCAGAUGGUCUCGGAAACUCCAGCUCCGCGAAAGCGCCUCGGCAGCUGCAACAAUCUUACCCUGCUGCUGGUAGGCCUCCCCGAGUGCGUACCAGGCGAGCAGUCGCCGACGAUCUCGAAAGGCACUGACAUCCUCAGUCUGCAGGUAUUUUUGGAGUGAGACGGAGCAAGCCGACCAGUCCUGCCGCUCGAACUGCAACCAGCCUAACGUGAACCAGGCCCAUGGUAGCGUCCUCGAAUGAGCAGCGAUCGUCGUCAGGCACACUUGUUCCAUGCGUUGGACGGCGUUCCAGACGGCGCUGGAGUCCAUUCGUUGCACCUGCUCGUGCAGGAGCCACGAGUAAGCCUGUACAAGUCGUAGCGCGGCAGUUUCAUCGCUCGGUUCGAGUGCAUGCGCUCUUUCGAGACAAUGCAGGGCGAGCUGCCAGUACCGGCGAGCUUUCUGAGAACGCUCUCGUGCAUCGCCGCGAUUCACCUGCUCUGUGACACUGGCAUGCUCCUGCGACAGGGGCUCGUUUCCAGGCAACGGAUGCUCUGCGGAUGCAGCGCUCCCCUGCGCCUCACCUGGGCCUGUGCGCCGGUCUUGAGGCUCUGCACUGCGCGUCGCAUUGUCCAGUGUCGAUGAUGACGGCGACAACGUACCCGGUCGCUUCGUCGCACUGGGUUCGCUCCGCUGCCUCAGUCGAGCGGCGUCCGCUUCGUUCGGAGUACCCGAAGCAUUCAUGGACGCUGUCGUCGACGUCUGAUGAGCCGCGCUCGAGUCUGUAACCGGCACCUGCACAUCAUGUGGGAGCAGUGAUACCGAAACGCUCGGUCGCGCGAAGGGCACCGCUCCAGACAAUGCACCACAGCCCGAGGCUCCUGCGCGUACUGCAGCCAGACUUGCAGCAGCGGUCGGAUUAGCGCUACCCGACGCUUUCCAGAUAGCGUGAUCCAUCUCUGGUGCCGGGGUGUCCAGCACCAGGGCACGUUCGCCGGCACCCGACGGCCAACCCAGCGCUAGGGCGCUUUCCCAGAGUACGCGCGCCAGCUCCAGGUACGGUGCACCGAAACACGGGUCGAUUGCUAUCGCCGCCAGCAAGUCUGGUAUCGCAUCAGCAGCUCUGGAGCUGGCGUCGCACUCCACUGGGGCGGAUUGCUUACGCUGGUGCCGCAGACGGCGAUGUCGUGCCCGACUUUGCAAGGCGAGUGCUCGUAGGCGAGAGGUCGAGGCGACGUCACGACCCCAUCCAAGAAGCACAAGUCCCAGGGGCAUCGGUGUCGGCUCGUGGUCAUCUGCUUCCACCCGCAGAUUUUGCAGCACUGACCAGUGUCGCUCCCAGUCGACGCAGCGGUCACCAGCGUAGGAGCGCCCCAGUGACGCCUCUGAGCGUGCCUGCUCAUCGUGCCACUCUAUGCGAUGAACUUGUGCCCACAAGUCAUUCGGAUCAGCCGCCAACACCUGUUCACAGAGCGACAGUGCUCGUUGGCGCGAGCGCACAUCGUUGUGUUGCCAAAGCUCCACUGCAAGUAGGCGCCAGGCAGCACAGCGCAGACGCGUCGACCAGAGCACCGCAUCGCCCGUGAACGCUUCGGUGUGAAGAACCUCCAGAGCCAUCUGGAAAGCAUCUUGUGCCUCCUGCGGAUGACCCAGCGCAUGCUUCGCAAUACCCACGGCCAAAUGGAGCGAUGCAAGGAGUACGGAAAGAUGUCGCUGCUCUGACUGAAGCUCGCGGAGAUGCUGCACCGCGCGUCCAGCAGCUCGAGCAACGACAUGCCAUUCUCUGCGGUGCAUGCCGACACCCAACUGCAGUAGCGCCUGCGUCAGAGGUGUCUUACCUCUAAAGUUGUCGAUGGCGAGGUCCUCGGUGCUGCUUCGAGCGGCAGUGCUUCUGCUGUCGUCAUUCCGACAUCGAAUAGCAAUCACGAAAAGAAGCACCCGAGCCAGCUCGUUGGUGUGCGCACUAUACGGCACUCGGUGAACCGUUCGCUGGCACCAUUCUCGCCAUGAGUUUACCAACGACUGCGGCGCUGUGUCGUUGAACAGCAACGCUUCGAGUACGCUGGUGCAUACGACGUCACCGCUUGCGGCACCGUUUAUCCAGGAGUCCAGCAGCGCAUGCGGGUCGCCUGCGUACGUCCACAUGCUCAUUGCUGCUCGGAGGUACGCGUCAAAGCGAACAGGGUGCUCGCGCCAUGCCCUUGUUGCUGCACGUUGAAACCAUCUCCACAACGCCACGAGUCCGCCGGUGGUGCUGCUUUUCAAGUAGCCAGCCAUGUGUAGCCACUCGAGCGCGUCGGGCUCACGGUGUUCCACUUCGAAACGUGCCUGGAGACGUUCGCAGUCUAGUUCGUUGAAUGCAUGAUCCGAGGGUGUUCGUCCACACAAGACGUCGAGUGCUCGUUGACGACGCACCAGAAGCUGCUCAAGUCGCUGUUCAUCUGUCGCUGUUGGCUCGGCUUCUAUGCAGCGGUCGCACGCUUCGAGAACCGCACGCCAGUAGGCUGUCGACUCGGUUCCCGUUGCCUCAGCGGCGGACUCACAGAGUCCUCGCCAUGCCAAGAGGUCCGUCGGACGCAGCGCUGUGGCGCGCUGGUAAGCCUGGAGCGAUCGUUCUCGCUCGCCAAGGCCCGCUGCAGCUGCACCCACGAAAACGUAUGCGAAGUAGUUGCCUCGAUCCUGUUGAAGGACCUGCCGGGCACACUCCAGCGCAUAGGCGUAACGUUUGUCGCGAAGUGCCUCUUUCGCCUCGCGGAGCAAACCCGAGACCGACGCGUUUGCUCUGGCGCUCAUGAUCCAUAUUCUUGAAGCUUGCGAUUCGCGCUUCUGCACAAAAAGAAGAAGCCUGAAUGCGUCGACCAAGUCGCUGCGUUGCUGGUACUCGACCCGGCGCUCGUCGUGGCAGCCAGUGCCUUCACUGGCGCAGCUCUAGGCCGCCGUUUUCGGCACAAACCGAGUACCGGACUGCAGAUUCUCCGAACACUCGCUCCGUUUCCGCCAACGUCUGCAGUUGAUGAAAGUAUGCUAUAGGAUCUUGUUCUACCAGAAUCAGACACCUGAAUACGACACGAGAAAGCACGAGCGAAGCAGGCCUGAACGGCUUGGAGACGCUCGUGCCGUCGCCUGCCGAGCACGUCCACGUCGCCGCUGCACUGCAGGAUGCAUUCAUCGAUACCGGGUGUCGAAUGAGAAGCAACAGGUCAACCUGGGUAAUGAGGGCGUACACACACAAUAAAGU